AAGAGGGAUCCUGGAAGCAUCUGACUAUUCCACCAUCUUGGCCCCGCCUCACCCCAGAGCAACCUUAGAAAUUGUUUCAGAGAUGGCAAGACUGUUGUCAGCCUGGGUCCCUGGAUCACUGCAUUGAGGAGGCCCACCUCAGUGACAGACCUUUCACCUGUCCAUUGGUGAUUGAUUGAUCGUGGUCCAGCAUGCAGAAGCGAGUGAGUGGUGAAAAGCAGCAGAGCUGAUGGAUUGUGAAGAUGUGUUUGAAGGCUGUCACACUGUCUACUUCAGGGAGGGCUGUUGUGAAGAACCAUGCAUCUCAGCUGAACUCUGUGGAUAGCCUCUUGCUUGCCCAUGGUGCCAUGCUAGCAUCACCUGCCAGAGAAAACCAGUGUUCUGAGUGAGUGUCCAGAUGAAGUGCCCUUGGCAGGAUUGAUGAACAGGAAGUGGUAAACUUUGACCUGGUCCUGGGAGAAUGAGAAGAUACUACAAGGACUGAGGAAAGGGUCCUGAACACAACUCCAGAAGUUAAUUUUAUAGCCUUUUAGGAAACGCAGUGUGGGCAGAAGAAGGAAGCUGGCUGUCUAGGCUUCGGCAAUAUUGAUGUUAGUUGACUCAGAGAGUCAAAGAGACAGAACGUCCCUUGAACAUUAAGGAGUCAAAAAGAGAUCCCUAAGCACUCAAAAAAGUCAUAGAAAAAGGGAAGUUUAAAAAAAGAAAGAAAAGAAAAUGUAUUAAACAUCUACCCUCAGCUUGGCACUUACCUUUUUUUUUUUUAAUCAAUUUUGCCACCGUCUGUCCUCUCCCUCAUCUCCUAGGGAAGAGGUUGCAUACCUCUAGGGGGAGUGUCUUAGUUAUCUAGUGCUGCUUUAACCAAGAGAAAUUUAUUUUCUCAGUCUAGUGGCUAGAAGUCCAAAUUCAGGGCAACAGCUCCAGGAGAAGGCUUUCUGUCUGUCAGCUCGGAAGAAAGGUCCUUGUCAUCAAUCUUCCUUUGGACUAGGAGCUUCUUGCCGCAGGAAGCUCAGAUCCAAAGGACACGGUCUGCCCCCGGCGCUACUUUCUUGGUGAUGUGAGGCCCCCUUUCUCUCUGCUUGCUUCUCCUUUUUAAAACUCAAGAGAGAUUGGUUCAAAACAUAAUCCAAUCUUGUAGAUUGAGUUUGGCCUCAUUAACAUAACUGUCUCCUAUCCCACCUCAUUAACAUCAUAGAGGUAGGAUUUACAACUCAUAGGAAAAACACAUCAGAUGACAAAAUGGUGGACAAUCACACAAUACUGGGAAUCAUGGCUUAGCCAAAUUGAUACUUGUAUUUUGGGGGGAUACAAUUCAAUCCAUGACAGGGAGCCAUUCUUGAGAAGCAUGGAAAGUCCCUUCUUGGGGAUUUCCCCCUUUCGCUGGAAAGUUUGCAGACCAUCUCCCAUUCCCCCAUGAUGAUCCAUUGCUCCUUGCUUCUGUAUUCUUAGAUGCUUAGGCCUCUGUUUGUCUCUGACUUCCAGCUUCUGUAAAGGGGCUCUCACCCUCCCACCCCCCUUUAAUGUCCAUAUUGGACAAAGCUAUUUGGCUUGACCAGCCCCUUUUUCAGCUGCAAGCCUGGCCUCCGGCCCAAUGAUAAGCACCCACCCUUCUUGUUUCUAUUUCAGAUAUUGAGCUGCUCACAGCUCUGUGGGUCUCCUGCAGAUUAACUGGGCUAGGCAUUCUGUCCCAGGCCCCAGGCUGCAGGUUGGGUUCAAGUCUGCUCCGCAUGUCUUGUUCUGGAGCCUAGGCCAAAGGGUCAGCAGCUACCUAGAGUAUGUUCUUCUCAUGGUGGAUCAGCAGAGCACAAGGGAGCACCCCAGCCACGCAAGCACAUUUCAGGCCUCUGUUGACAUCACGUGUCCAGCCAGAAGUUGCGAGGCAGGUGUCUUCCACUCUCCAUGAAGCCAUUAGUGGACUGUGAAUGAUUUUAUUACAAGAGGAUGACAAACAUGGACCAGUAAUUCAGUGUCUCAGAUUUUCAAACAACACUUUAGUUCAGAAGUAACUGUUGUGAGUCUUCUGAACCUCUUUCGAAGAGCAGAACCUUCAAAGAAUAGGGAGCGGAGGGCUGUUGUGAAGAACCAUGCAUCUCAGCUGAACUCUGUGGAUAGCCUCUUGCUUGCCCAUGGUGCCAUGCUAGCAUCACCUGCCAGAGAAAACCAGUGUUCUGAGUGAGUGUCCAGAUGAAGUGCCCUUGGCAGGAUUGAUGAACAGGAAGUGGUAAACUUUGACCUGGUCCUGGGAGAAUGAGAAGAUACUACAAGGACCGAGGAAAGGGUCCUGAACACAACUCCAGAAGUUAAUUUUAUAUUGAGCUGCUCACAGCUCUGUGGGUCUCCUGCAGAUUAACUGGGCUAGGCAUUCUGUCCCAGGCCCCAGGCUGCAGGUUGGGUUCAAGUCUGCUCCGCAUGUCUUGUUCUGGAGCCUAGGCCAAAGGGUCAGCAGCUACCUAGAGCACGUUCUUCUCAUGGUGGAUCAGCAGAGCACAAGGGAGCACCCCAGCCACGCAAGCACAUUUCAGGCCUCUGUUGACAUCACGUGUCCAGCCAGAAGUUGCGAGGCAGGUGUCUUCCACUCUCCAUGAAGCCGUUAGUGGACUGUGAAUGAUUUUAUUACAAGAGGAUGACAAACAUGGACCAGUAAUUCAGUGUCUCAGAUUUUCAAACAACACUUUAGUUCAGAAGUAACUGUUGUGAGUCUUCUGAACCUCUUUCGAAGAGCAGAACCUUCAAAGAAUAGGGAGUGGAUUCCUAAAGGUGACAACCUGUAUAAAAUACAGCCAAGCUUUGGUUGACAAAAGCCUGAUGAAUGAAAACCCUUGAUGAAAUGGAAUUAUUUGGAGGUGAUCAUGUGUAGGGAAGAAUGAGACAAGUCACAAGGUAACCAGGACAACUCAGGCAGUUGUCCUACCACUUGUUUGCCAGCUUGUACUGUGGUGACUUUCAUGUUGCUGUGAUGCUGGAAGCUAUGCUACCACCAAUAUUUCUAAUACCAGCAGGGUCGCCCAUGGUGGACAGAUUUCAGUGGAGCUUCCAGACUAAGACAGACUGUUAAGAAGGACAUGAUGACUUCUUAAAAAAAAACUGGCCAAUGAAAACCUUCUGCAUAGCAGCAGAACAUUGUCUGAUACAGUACUAGAAGACAAGCCCCUCAUUUUGGAAGGCACUCAAAAGACGACUGGGGCGGAGCUGCCUCCAUAAUGCAGAGUAGACCUUGAUGACUAUGACGGAGUCAAGCUUUCAGGAUCUUCGUACGCUGAUGUGGCAAGACUCAAAAUGAGAAGAAACAACGGCAAACAUCCAUUAAUAAUCGGAAUGUGGAAAAUACAUAGUAUAAAUCUAGGAAAACUGGAAGCCUUCAACAAUGAAAUAGAACACGUAAAGACUGAUAUUCUAGGCAUUAGUGAGCAUGAAAUGGACUUGUAUUGGUCAUUUUGAAUCAGACAAUCAUGUAGUCUACUCUGCUGGAAAUGACAAACUGAAGAGGAGUGGUGUCACGUUCAUUGUCAAAAAGAACUGUUCAAGGCCUGUCCUGAAGUACGGUGCUGUCAGUGAUAGGAUAAUACCCAUACUCUUACAAGGAAGGCCAGUUCAUAUGACUAUGAUGCCAAUUUAUACACCAACCACUAAUGUCCUGUAGAGUCGCUAUGAGUCAGAGUUGACUCGAUGGCAGCUGGUUUUUUUUUUUUUUUUUUUUCUUUAUAAUCAUUAAUAUCACAUGCAAAUAAAAUUUUGCUGGAGAAAAUUCCAAACUGUCUGCAGCAGUAUACGGACAGGGAACUGCCAGGAACUCAACAGAAUUAACAACAGGAUCUAAUUCAUAGAGUUUUUGUGAGAAUUAAAUGAUUUAAUACUAUAAGGCGCUUAGCACAGCAAUACCGACCUAUAUAUUUACAUAUCAAUUCCAAACUCAAGGGGACAGGGACAAUGGCAAGUCAGAUUGUCAAGAGCAGGGAGGCCAAGGGAUGGGAAACAUCUCUCAGGAAUGGGGUCCUGGGAGCCAUUAGAAACAGGCAGCAUCACAGCCCAGCUCAACACUGGUUGCUGGAGAGCAGAGGCCCCUUCCCUACCAAAGACCUCGGGUCGCACCGCCGACAUCACAUGGGCACUGCUAUCUCGAUUCUAGGGAUGGGAUUAAAAACAAAAACAGACAAACCCGUUGGCACUGAGUCAAUUCCAACUCAUAGCAACUGUAUAGGACAGAGUAGAGCUACUCCAUAGGGUUUCCAAGGAGUGCCUGGUGGAUUUGAACUGCCGACCUUCUGGGUAAAAGCUGUAGCUUUUAACCACUGAGCUACCGUGACUCCAGGGAUGGGAUGAGCAUGUGCAUAAACCAGUUCCUACCAAUUGGAUUUAGACUCAUGGUGACCUGAUGUGUGUCAGGGUAGAAUUAUGCUCCAUGGAUUCUUCACAGGCUGACUUUUUAGAACUAGAUCGCCUGGACUUUUUCUGAGGUGCCUCAGGGUAGACUCCAACCAUCAACCUUUUGGGUAGUAGCCCAGCACAUUAUCCAUUUGCCCCGCCAGGGACUCUAAAAAAAAAUGUGCAUAAAAACUAAACUCGUUGCCCUUGAGUCGAUUUCAACUCAUAGCGACCCUUUAAGACAGAGUAGAGCUCCCCACAGAGCUUCCAAGGAGCACCUGGUAAGUUCGAACUACCAACCUUCUGGUUAGCGGCAUGAAGCUCUUCUCCACUGUGCCACCAGGGUUUCCAGUAUGUGCAUAGGGAAGGAAAAACAAGGUUAGCUUCUUGUCCCUCUCAGCACCAUCACAUCCAGAGAGCUCUUCCCCUCAGCAGCAGCAGCAGCAGCAGCAGCACCUCUUCAGCCACACAAGAAAAUUGAAUUGUUUUCUUGAAAUAUUUUCUGGGAGGGGGGAAAAAUCCCUUUUGGAGGGAAGAAGUAGAAAGGUCUUGGGUAUUAAAGCAUCCAUUCCCAGACAAUAUCCUGGGGGCUGCUGGGACCAACAAAGAGGCCAUGAAUGUGAGACCAAGAGAGGCUGGUCUGUUUGAGCAGCUACAGAGAGGAGUGCACGCAUAUCACUAAUGGAAAACGAGAGGAAGGAGGAAGGAGGUGCCCAGUGAUGCCUUGGAUGAAUGUCUUAUUGACUAAGGUUGACAGGAUGGCUUGGUGCCCUGGUAGAAUCACAGGGAGUUUACAAACACACAGCCUUGUUUUCCUGGGGUCUGGACAUGGACUUUAUAUAUAUAUAUUUUUUUAUAAUUUUUAUUUUGCUCUAAGUGAAAGUUUAAAAAUCCAGUCAGUCUCUCACACAUAAACUUAUAUACACCUUACUACACACUCCCACUUACUCUCCCCCCAAUGAGUUAGCCUGCUCCCUCCUUCCAGUCUCUCCUUUCGUGAUCGUUUUGCCAGUUUCUAACCCCCUGUACCCUCCCAUCUUCCCUCCAGACAGGAGAUGCCAACAUAGUCUCAAGUGUCCACUUGAUGCAAGUGGCACACUUCUUAUCAGCAUCUCUCUCCAACCCAUUGUCCAGUCCAACCCAUGUCUGCUGAGAUGGCUUCAAAAAUGGUUCCUGUCCUGGGCCAUCAGAAGGUUUGGGGACCAUGACAGCCAGGAUUCUUCUAGUCUUAGUCAGACCAUUAAGUCUGGUCUUUUUCUGAGAAUUUGGGGUCUGCAUCCCACUGUUCUCCUGCUCCCUCAGGGAUUCUCUGUUGUGCUCCCUGUCAGGGGAGUCAUCGGUUGUGGUUAGGCACCAUCUAGUUCUUCUGGUCUCAGGAUGAUGUAGUCUCUAGUUCAUGUGGCCCUUUCUGUCUCUUGGGCUCAUAAUUACCUUGUGACCUUGGUGUUCUUCAUUCUCCUUUGAUCCAGGUGGGUUGAGACCAAUUAAUGCAUCUUAGAUGGCUGCUUGCUAGCGUUUAAGACCCCAGACGCCACACUUCAAAGUGGAAGACAGAAUGUUUUCUUAAUAGAAUUUAUUUUGCCAAUUGACUUAGAUGUCCCCCGAAGCCAUAGUCCCCAAACCCCCGGCCCUGCUCCGCUGACCUUCACAGUAUUCAGUUUAUUCAGGAAACUUUUUUGCUUUUGGUCCAGUCCAGUUGUGCUGACCUCCCCUGUAUUGAGUGCUUUUCUUCCCUUCACCUAAAGUAGUUCUCAUCUACUAACUAAUCAGGAAAUAAUCCUCUCCCACCCUCCCUCCUUCCCCCCUCUCAUAACCACCAAAGAAUGUGUUCUUUUCAGUUUAUACUAUUUCUUAAAAUCUUAUAAUAGUGGUCGUAUACAAUAUUUGUCCUUUUGCAACUGACUAAUUUCACUCAGCAUAAUGCCUUCCAGGUUCCUCCAUGUUAUGAAAUGUUUCACAGAUUCAUCAUUGUUUUAUCAAUGCGUAGUAUUCCAUUGUGUGAAUAUACCAUAAUUUAUCCAUUCAUCCUUUGAUGGACACCUUGGUUGCUUCCAGCUUUUUGCUAUUGUAAUAAAUAGUGCUGUAGUAAACAUGGGUGUGCAUAUAUCUGUUCGUGUAAAGGCUCUUAUUUCUCUAGGAUAUAUUCCGAGGAGUGGGAUUUCUGGGUCGUAUGGUAGUUGUAUUUCUAGCUUUUUAAGGAAAUUCCAGAUCGAUUUCCAAAGUGGUUGUACCAUAUUACAUUCCCACUAGCAGUGUGUAAGUGUUCCAGUCUCUCCACAGCCUCUCCAACAUUUAUUAUUUUGUGUUUUUUGGAUUAAUGCCAGCCUUGUUAGAGUGAGAUGGAAUCUCAUCGUAGUUUGAAUUUGCAUUUCUCUAAUGGCUAAUGAUCGAGAGCAUUUUCUCAUGUAUCUGUUAGCCACCUGAAUGUCUUUAGUGAAGUGCAUGUUCAUAUCCUUUGCCCAAUUUUUAAUUGGGUCGUUUGUCUUUUUGUGGUUGAGUUUUGACAGAAUCAUAUCGAUUUUAGAGAUCAGGCGCUGGUCGGAGAUGUCAUAGCUGAAAAUUUUUUCCCAGUGUGUAGGUGGUCUUUUUACUCUUUUGGUGAAGUCUUUGGAUGAGCAUAGGUGUUUGAUUUUUAGGAGCUCCCAGUUAUCUGGUUUCUCUAAUAUUUUAGAUUGAGUCCUGCCUCAUUAACAUAAUAACUUCCGCUAAUCCCACUUCAUUAACAUCAUAGAGUUAGGAUUUACAACACAAAGGAAAAUCACAUCAAAUGACAAAACCCUGAACAAUCACACAAUACUGGGAAGCACUGCCUAGCCAAGUUGACACAUUUUUUGGAGGGACACAAUUCAGUCCAUAACACAUGCACCAGACACAGUGUAAGGCACUGGGUGAAUAGGGUCCAGUCCUUGCUUUCAAGGAGCAUCCAGUCAAGUGGGAAAGACAGACGGUAAAAAAUUGUUUAUAAUUACCUACAAUUAUGCAGUUAACAGUUAUCUAACAGUGUAUGAGUGUGGGUAGGCUAGCAGCUAUAACAAGCAACCCCCAAUUUUCAGUGUGUUAACAUCGUAACUCGCACAAAGUGCAGUGUGCCUGUUCUAGGUUGAGUGGUUCCUUCCAAGUAGUGAUGCAGGGAUCCAGGGUCACUCUACCUUGUGAUGUCUUCAACUCGUGGCCUCCAGGUUCACCAGGAAAAGGGAAGUUAGUGUGGGCAAUGUGUACUGGGCACUUAGCCACCUCAGCAUAGAAGUGAUAGACGUGACCUCUGCUUGUAUUUCAUUAACCAGGUCUAGUCACACAGCAAUUUUAGAUGUGGGGUAGCUGCUUCCCAGCCACAACUACACUAUACAGGAGGAAUGUGUAUCUUUGGAAAACAGUUAGUCACCUCUGCCAGAGGCAGGUACUAUGUUACAGAUGGCAAAAUUGAGGAACCUACCCAAAGUCACACAGCCAGUAUGUGGAGACACCAGAUGUGAACCCAGCUUCGUUUGAUCCAAAGCUCAUGCUCUAGCUGCUCUAUUACACACUCUGCUGUGACCACUGCUCUAGACCACAGUGUGGUUCUCAUGCGCAUGACCUGCCUGUGGAUCCCAUUCUCUCUGGUUUGGACCGGUCUGCAAAACUGGUGUUGCUGCUGCCUUAGCUUUCUGGCCUAAUUUUCCUUGUCUGUGACCUGAGGCCUUGCUAACCAAACCAACCCACUGCGACUGAGUCGACUUUGAUUCAUGGCAACCCUGUAGGAUGGAGUAGAAGUCUCCCGUAGGGUUUCCAAGACUGUAAGUCUUUAUGGAAUUAGACUGCCACAUCUUUCUCCCGUGGAGCGGCUGGUGGGUUCAAACCACCGACAUUUUGGUUAGCAGCCGAGUGCUUUAACCACUGACCUGCCAGGGCUCCUUGAGGCCUUGCUAGUUUACUGUAAUUCUCUCCUUCCUCAAAUGAAUUCAUAGUACUGGAGAAAGUUUCCAUCUUUGUGGCAUGGAAAACAAAGGAACAGGAUUCAGUCUUCCACAGCUGCUGUCUGGAUGGGAUAGCGGCAAUGUGGAUAUACAACUUCACACAUCUUUGGUUAUCAAAUGGUUACAUUAUUUUGUAGUUCCACCUCCCACAGGCUAGUAAAUGGGCAGUGUUAAAUAAUACACAGGGCUGUAGGAGCUUGGAUAUAGAAGACCACAUUGGGUUUGAGUACAUGACCAAUUAAUUUUGUGAAAAGGAACCUCCAUACUGGGUUACAAACAUAAGCAACAGUACAAGUAUGUAUAACAGGCUCUUAACCUUUGAUUUGGGAAUGAAUGAAAGCAAACAGCCUGAUGCAGAUGUAUGAGAGAAAUGUCAACCCCAUCUGAAACACCAUGAUUACACUGAAUUCCAAUUACUAUGCCCGUUAAAAAAUUACCUCAAAUCUUCACAGCUAAUACAACCAUUUAUUAUGCUCACGGAUCCUGUGGGUCAGGAAUUUGAGCAGCGCACAGCAGGGAUGUCUUGUAUGUGAGAGCUGAGAUCAUCUGAAGGCUUGUUCCUUCAUAAGUCUGAUGGUUGAUAAUGGCUGUUGGCUGAGGGCCUCAGUUCCUCUUCAUGUGGACCUCUCCAUGUAGUCUUUCUAUGUAGGCUAGUAUGGGCUUCCUCACAGCAUGGUGGCUGAGCUCCAAGGGUAAGCAUCUUGAUAGAGAGAGAGAGGACUAGGCAAAAGCUGUAUUGUCCUUUUUGAUGUAGCCUCUGAAGUCAUGUAACAUUGCUUCUGCCACAUUGUUUAUUGAAGCAUUCACAAAGUCUUGUCCAGGUUCGCACAGAGGGGAAAUAGACCCUGCCUCUUGACACGGAGCAGCAAAAUUCUGGAAGAAUGUGUGAGACUGGAGAUAGUGCUGCGGCCAAUUUUGGAAAAUAUAAUCUGCCACACUUUGCUUUUAUUCUGAUCCUUAAAUCUGACUUAAAUAUUAGCUAUCAUCUACUUGGUGCCCAUGCGCCAGGCCCCAUAUAGUCAUGAAAUGUCAUCCUGACCCCAACUGUGCAAAGUAAAUCCUGUUGCCCCUUUUAUAGUUUAGGAAAGUGAGGCCCAGAGAAGUUAAAGCAACUUACCCAAGGACACAGAGCUAGCAAAUGGUAGAGUCAAGCUGCAAAACUAAGCCUGGCCGACUCCAAAUCCCAUACUCUCUCCCACAGUUCCUAUAUGAUUUCCAGUGGGAUGACUCAUUCCUUUAACGAAAGUCAAGUUUGUCAGGGGAAGGCUGAACUGGUGGUGACAGGGUAAAGGGAAGUUCAGACGCUUUGAAUUAUGGUAACUUCUAUGAAAGUUCCUAGUCGUUUCUACCUUCUAGAAUCGACACAUCCUUAAAGCCCAUCGAGUCAAGGCAAUGGAAUUUAAACCCUCCCUGGUUUCCAAAUACCUGCAGUACAUUUCCUUUGAUUCUCCAGCAUGUAUAAAGUAUUCCUCAAAGACCACAGGGGAAGUAAAAUGCUUGUGGACAAUGAAAUCCGCCCUCUUUCAGGUGGGCUGACGAGAAACCCUUGGAGACUCCCCCAGAGUGAUCAUCAGGCUGUACUCUUAAGAGUUAUGUCCUUGACUGAUGUGAGUUAUACCUCAACCAAAAAUCAAUACGGCUGCAAAGGAAUGAAAGUUAUGCCAGGACAACAGGCAUAAAUGAGUUCUGUCCUGGGCAAAUAGGGCUGGAUGGACGUUAUAAUCUGUUGCUGUUGAGUCGGUUCCGAUUCGCAGUGACCCCGUAGGACAGAGUAGAACUGCCCCGUAGUACUUCCGAGGCUGCAGUCUUUACAGAAGCAGACUGCCACAUCCUUCUCCUGUGGAGCGGCUGGUGGGUUCAAACCACCAACCUUUCAGUUAGCAGCCGAGCACUUAACCACUGCACCGCCAGGGCUCCUUG